rnacentral:tRNA from 1 species
GGGAAUGUAGCUCAGUGAUAAGAGUGUGUGCUUCAUAUGUGUGAGGUCCCUGGUUCAAUUCCUGGCAUCUCCA